UUCGCCAGGGAACAACGAGCCCCAGCUUAAAACCCAAAGGACUUGGCGGUGCUUUAGACCCCCCUAGAGGAGCCUGUUCUAGAACCGAUACUCCCCGUUCAACCUCACCCUCCCUUGUUUACCCCGCCUAUAUACCGCCGUCGUCAGCUUACCCUGUGAAGGCCUAACAGUAAGCAAAAUUGGCAAAGCCCAAAACGUCAGGUCGAGGUGUAGCGUACGGGAGGGGAAGAAAUGGGCUACAUUUACUGAACCAGUAAACACGGACAUUGCACUGAAAUGAGCAUCUGAAGGAGGAUUUAGCAGUAAGGAGAAAACAGAGCGCUCCCCUGAAAAUGGCCCUGAAGCGCGCACACACCGCCCGUCACUCUCCCCAAAACCUGCAACUCAUAAAUAAUACAAUCAAGCCUAAAACAAAGGGGAGGCAAGUCGUAACAUGGUAAGUGUACCGGAAGGUGCACUUGGAAAAAUA
rnacentral:rRNA from 1 species